GACGAACGCUGGCGGCGUGCUUAACACAUGCAAGUCGAACGGAAAGGCCCUGCUUUUGUGGGGUGCUCGAGUGGCGAACGGGUGAGUAACACGUGAGUAACCUGCCCUUGACUUUGGGAUAACUUCAGGAAACUGGGGCUAAUACCGGAUAGGAGCUCCUGCUGCAUGGUGGGGGUUGGAAAGUUUCGGCGGUUGGGGAUGGACUCGCGGCUUAUCAGCUUGUUGGUGGGGUAGUGGCUUACCCAGGCUUUGACGGGUAGCCGGCCUGAGAGGGUGACCGGCCACAUUGGGACUGGGAUACGGCCCAGACUCCUACGGGAGGCAGCAGUGGGGAAUAUUGCACAAUGGGCGGAAGCCUGAUGCAGCAACGCCGCGUGCGGGAUGACGGCCUUCGGGUUGUAAACCGCUUUCGCCUGUGACGAAGCGUGAGUGACGGUAAUGGGUAAAGAAGCACCGGCUAACUACGUG
rnacentral:rRNA from 1 species